UACGGAGGGUGCAAGCGUUAAUCGGAAUUACUGGGCGUAAAGCGUGCGCAGGCGGUUUUGUAAGUCAGGGGUGAAAGCCCCGGGCUCAACCUGGGAAUUGCGCUUGAUACUGCGGCGCUGGAAGGUGGGAGAGGAUGGCGGAAUUCCCAGUGUAGAGGUGAAAUUCGUAGAUAUUGGGAAGAACACCGGUGGCGAAGGCGGCCAUCUGGCCCAUUUUUGACGCUGAGGCGCGAAAGCGUGGGGAGCAAACAGG
rnacentral:rRNA from 1 species